CCUGUAGUUAGUUUCAGUUGAUGAUGAUGACCCUGUAGUCAGUUUUAGUUGACAAUAAUGACCCUGUAGUCAGUUUUAGUUGACGAUGAUGACCCUGUAGUUAUUUUAGUUGAGGAUGAUGACCCUGUAGUUAGUUUUAGUUGACAAUAAUGACCCUGUAGUUAGUUUUAGUUGAGGAUGAUGACCCUGUAGUCAGUUUUAGUUGACAAUAAUGACCCUGUAGUUAAUUUUAGUUGACAAUAAUGACCCUGUAGUUAGUUUUAGUUGAGGAUAAUAACCCUGUAGUCAGUUUUAGUUGACAAUAAUGACCCUGUAGUUAGUUUUAGUUGAUGAUGAUGACCCUGUAGUUAGUUUUAGUUGACGAUGAUGACCCUGUAGUUAGUUUUAGUUGACAAUAAUGACCCUGUAGUUAGUUUUAGUUGACAAUACUGACCCUGUAGUUAGUUUUAGUUGAGGAUAUUAACCCUGUAGUUAGUUUUAGUUGUUAAUGAUGACCCUGUAGUUAGUUUUAGUUGACAGUAAUGACCCUGUAGUUAGUUUUAGUUGAGGAUAUUAACCCUGUAGUCAGUUUUAGUUGACGAUGAUGACCCUGUAGUUAGUUUUAGUUGACAAUAAUGACCCUGUAGUCAGUUUUAGUUGACAAUAAUGACCCUGUAGUUAGUUUUAGUUGACAAUAAUGACCCUGUAGUCAGUUUUAGUUGACGAUGAUGACCCUGUAGUUAGUUUUAGUUGACAAUAAUGACCCUGUAGUCAGUUUUAGUUGACAAUAAUGACCCUGUAGUUAGUUUUAGUUGACAAUAAUGACCCUGUAGUUAGUUUUAGUUGAGGAUGAUGACCCUGUAGUCAGUUUUAGUUGACAAUAAUGACCCUGUAGUUAGUUUUAGUUGACAAUAAUGACCCUGUAGUUAGUUUUAGUUGACGAUGAUGACCCUGUAGUUAGUUUUAGUUGACAAUAAUGACCCUGUAGUCAGUUUUAGUUGACGAUAAUGACCCUGUAGUUAGUUUUAGUUGACAAUAAUGACCCUGUAGUUAGUUUUAGUUGAGGAUGAUGACCCUGUAGUCAGUUUUAGUUGACAAUAAUGACCCUGUAGUUAGUUUUAGUUGACAAUAAUGACCCUGUAGUUAGUUUUAGUUGACGAUGAUGACCCUGUAGUCAGUUUUAGUUGACAAUAAUGACCCUGUAGUUAGUUUUAGUUGAGGAUGAUGACCCUGUAGUUAGUUUUAGUUGACAAUAAUGACCCUGUAGUUAGUUUUAGUUGAGGAUGAUGACCCUGUAGUCAGUUUUAGUUGACAAUAAUGACCCUGUAGUUAAUUUUAGUUGACAAUAAUGACCCUGUAGUUAGUUUUAGUUGAGGAUAAUAACCCUGUAGUCAGUUUUAGUUGACAAUAAUGACCCUGUAGUUAGUUUUAGUUGAUGAUGAUGACCCUGUAGUUAGUUUUAGUUGACGAUGAUGACCCUGUAGUUAGUUUUAGUUGACAAUAAUGACCCUGUAGUUAGUUUUAGUUGACAAUACUGACCCUGUAGUUAGUUUUAGUUGAGGAUAUUAACCCUGUAGUUAGUUUUAGUUGUUAAUGAUGACCCUGUAGUUAGUUUUAGUUGACAGUAAUGACCCUGUAGUUAGUUUUAGUUGACAAUAAUGACCCUGUAGUUAGUUUUAGUUGAGGAUAUUAACCCUGUAGUUAGUUUUAGUUGACAAUAAUGACCCUGUAGUCAGUUUUAGUUGACAAUAAUGACCCUGUAGUUAGUUUUAGUUGAUGAUUGAUGACCUGUAGUUAGUCUUAGUUGACAAUAAUGACCCUAUAGUUAGUUUUAGUUGAUGAUUGAUGACCUGUAUUUAGUUUUAGUUGACAAUAAUGACCCUGUAGUCAGUUUUAGUUGACAAUAAUGACCCUGUAGUUAGUUUUAGUUGAUGAUUGAUGACCUGUAGUUAGUCUUAGUUGACAAUAAUGACCCUAUAGUUAGUUUUAGUUGAUGAUUGAUGACCUGUAUUUAGUUUUAGUUGACAAUAAUGACCCUGUAGUCAGUUUUAGUUGACAAUAAUGACCCUGUAGUUAGUUUUAGUUGAUGAUUGAUGACCUGUAGUUAGUUUUAGUUGACAAUAAUGACCCUGUAGUUAGUUUUAGUUGACAGUAAUGACCCUGUAGUUAGUUUUAGUUGACAAUAAUGACCCUGUAGUUAGUUUUAGUUGACGAUGAGGACCCUGUAGUUAGUUUUAGUUGAUGAUGAUGACCCUGUAGUUAGUUUUAGUUGACAAUAAUGACCCUGUAGUUAGUUUUAGUUGAGGAUAUUAACCCUGUAGUUAGUUUUAGUUGUUAAUGAUGACCCUGUAGUUAGUUUUAGUUGACAAUAAUGACCCUGUAGUUAGUUUUAGUUGAGGAUAAUAACCCUGUAGUUAGUUUAGUUGAUGAUGAUGACCCUGUAGUUAGUUUUAGUUGAUGAUGAUGACCCUGUAGUUAGUUUUAGUUGACAAUAAUGACCCUGUAGUUAGUUUUAGUUGAGGAUGAUGACUCUGUAGUUAGUUUUAGUUGGAGAUGAUGACCCUGUAGUUAGUUUUAGUUGACAAUAAUGACCCUGUAGUUAGUUUUAGUUGAGGAUGAUGACCCUGUAGUCAGUUUUAGUUGAUGAUGAUGACCCUGUAGUUAGUUUUAGUUGAUGAUGAUGACCCUGUAGUUAGUUUUAGUUGAGGAUGAUGACCCUGUAGUUAGUUUUAGUUGAGGAUAAUAACCCUGUAGUUAGUUUUAGUUGAGGAUAAUAACCCUGUAGUUAGUUUUAGUUGAUGAUGAUGACCCUGACUCGCAGUGGGUCGAAGUGGAAGUUUCCAGGCGUGUCUCAUGAACUCGGAUUGGCUGCAGGGAAUCGUCUCAAUUGUCCUUCUCCCCACCCUGAGGCCCUGGAGGGGUGAAACCAGGGCUUGGGGUGAUAUUUUAAGAUGGACGACUUGUAUUUUUAGGGCAGCUGUACGCUGCGGUGUUCACAUUUCAGGUCGGCUAUAAAAACAAACAAAAAGCCGAGUUGCUGUAGGAGGACAGCUGGAGCGGACAAACAGAGAAACUCACCCUAACCCAAACCCCUGCUCUCAGAUUAGUUUAUUUUUAGCGUGAGCAUGGUCCGGUGUGGCUCUCGUGUCUGUAUGUGACAGGACUGAAGUGUAAUUAAAUCAGUGCACCAUCUGUGUGUGUGAUAAACAAAACAGGCUUCAGCUUAUUUUAAUAGAAGAUGAGAAAAGCCGCUGCGUCCAGAUGCCUGCCAGUCCUCAUGUGCAUGCAAACCCUCUGUGACCUGAGCUAAACACACUGUGAGAAGGAUGCACUCAUUUAUUAAAACAUAAAAGUGCUGCAUCAGUGAGUGUUGUGCUGCGCUCACAGUCAGACGAGGCUCGUCAAUGACGUACAGGGAAACGAGACGGCAAUGCAAAUCUCUAGUGUUUGUUUUACAGGUGUACUAUUAUCAACAGAGAUCAUUUAUUGUGUUUUACACACCCGUGUCUGUAAAUGUUCACUGAACUGGUUUUCUUAUCACAUUAUGUGUGAACUUUGACUCAUUGAUGCAUUUUAUUAGGUUACAGUAAGCGUAAAAUCAAAAACAACUCUGGCGCUUGAUAUAUAUUUGAGCAAAAAUAAUGUUUACCAGGGUUAUUAUAGUAAACUAAAACUAAAACCUUAAAAAACAUUGGAAGAGAUCUCUUCUGCUCACCAAGGCUGCAUUUAUUUGAUCAAAAAUACUGUAAGAACAGUGAAAUAUUAUUAAAAUUUUAAAUUUAUUAUUAUAAUCUGGGAAGUUUUGCACUGAAAGAGCCAAACUCAUCUGGACACGGCAGUGUCAAAAGGCCAUUGGCUGAAACUAGACAUGCUGCAUUGAACAUGUGCAACUUUAGGCCGCGGUGAGAGUGAGGUGCGAUUGCAUCAUCAUCAUCAUCAUCAUCAGAGGCUUGUCUCCUGCCCUCGGGCGUGUAAACAGGAAAUGUGAACAGGCUCAUGAUGAAUGUGAGGAGAGAGAGGAGAAGAAGACGCAAGUGCCUUUCAUCAUUUCAGUAUUUCCUGAGGCGAGCCGGAGGGGUAAGAAAACAGAAAAGAGGGAAGGCAGGGAGAGAGAGAGGAGACUUGGGUAAACGCAGUUAAACUGGUGCUGUUUUCCAAGGCUUUCAUUCCAGUCCUGCUCAGAAAACAUGGCCUCGGGCGCGUGCCAAAAUAUUCAUGUGCCUUUCGUCCCGAAACAAAGACUUCAAAGUUGUGGAGCGCAGAACGUGAGGAGUGAAGCGCUCAGCAAAAACAAUCCCGUCACUUCAACGCUAACUAUCACACACAUACAGAGUUAUUUUGGGAUAAAAGGUGAAAAAUUGGUAAAAUUUGUAAACAUAGUUUCUCGUACUGUAGAAUAAACAUUAAUUGCGAUUGCUAGCAGUUGCAUUAGAAAAGUUUAAAUCUUGUAAAAGAUUUAACUGCACUGACUCUAUCAGAUGAGAACAAAACCUGAACUGAAAUAAUAUUGUAAUAUUACAAUAAUAUUUAUUUACAAUAAUAAAAUGUAUUUUUUCUUUAAAAUAAAAUUGUAAUAGUAAUAAAAAAAAAAUAUAUAUAUAAAUAUAUAUAGUAAAAUUAGAAACAUUCUGCCGUUUCACAGUCUCGGCUCAUCCCAUCAGGAAAGCUCCAGCAGAACACACUGAUUAUGCAGCUUCGAAGCCCCAUGACAAGAGAAAAGGACGUUGUUUCCCGAUGAUGACUAUUCAUGGAUGCGUAAUUAUUGGAUGCUGAUAUAAUUUAAAGGCAGUUCAAAGGGUGUAAUUGGUAUUCUCGGAUGCAGCUCGACAUGAUCAAUGCCUGUCUCUUCUCAAAGGCUUUAAUCAGAUCCAGUGCGGAGCAUCAAUCCCAGGCCAUCUGCAGCCGAGCGCCGAGCCAAGAGUCUCCUGUGGAUGAGCCGGGCUGGCAGAAACACACAGGAACUGAGGAGAGCCGCGAGCAGUUUCACAGCUGACAGCACUGGAGAAUCCGAGCAGAAACGGGGAGCAGGUGUCGAUGACCCAGGUGCCGGACGCUGUGAUUGGACCAGAGGAUUUCUGGGAGAGAAGUGUUGUUUACUGACCGUGAAGCGCUCUGGAGCCGAUCUGAGGGCCGGGAGCCUUUAUAAAGACCUAAGGCCAAAACAAGAGCUCUGACUCCAAACCCUGUCAUGAUGAAGACCUCCACCACACUCCAGCUUCCACUACGUGUUCCUCCUUGAAAACACAUCGGAUGACAUCAGGCAGCUCCGGGUUCCUGGAAAAUCCAGCCUCUGCUGCCAUAAAGGCUUUUGGCCGGACGUUCCUGGGCAGCAGCUCAACUCCUGCUGUGUUUUAUUCCAGUCGUAACACUGGAUUUCUUCAGUUGCGUCUCCUAGAGAGACUCCCGUUCUCCAGACCUUCAGAAACAGCUGCAGCUCUGGGCAAAAAUAAUGAAGCUUUCUGUGUCUGAAGGGAAGCGUCUGUAGAAACCACACGCUCCAUCUUCACUGAGGAUGAGUUUAGAUGAGCUUCUGCUCAUUCAGGACAAUAUUUUGUGUUGAAAGGAUGGGGGAAAAUAAGUAAAAGAAAAUUUAGUCUACAUUUACUAUAUAUAAUAUAUAUAUAUAUAUAUAUAUAUAUAUAUAUAUAGAAUGUGUAUAUAUGAAUUGCUUUUUUUUAAUCCUUUUUUGGAGCUUGGUUGUAUAAAUCACCAUCCACAUUUAUCCAAACAUUAUUUUAUAUUGUUUUGUUUUUUUUUUCAUUAUUUUUUUUUAAAUCUCUUUUUGAGUUUCACAGAAGUGGUUUGGAGUGAAUGAUCAUUUUUGGAUGAACUGUCCCUUUAAAUAACGCUUCAGACUCAAAGCUGAAGAUAAUUACAUCAGCCUAUUAGACACGUGACUGAUUCAGGUAACUAUAAUCGCGCUGAUUCUGCAAACACGAGUCAUAAUGGAUCUCUCCUGCAGUCAGCAGAUAUAUGAGGAACACACGAACGAAUAAAGACUCCAAAAGAGAGGAAAAAUACAGAGCGAAGCGAUUAAGGACACGAUCUGAUCGUUCUGAGGAACCGCGAGCAGCGGGAACAGCAGGUGUUCUGAUUGGUGGAGGAGGAGUGGGCGGAGACUACUACAGCAAUCAACCAAUGAGAGAGUGAGCAACUGCACAACACGCCUUUCAAUCCCGAGCAAUAAAAACACAAACGAG